UGGAUCCGACUAAUUUCCAUGUUUGUAGCCGCUCCUGCCACUGCCCUCUCUUUAAGGACACAGCUAGAAAGACGCUCAAUAAACAGAUCGUCGUCCUCUCCAAGCGGAGGGGUCAGCUCAAGCGAUAGCUAACAUGGAAAGUGCUAUGGAACAAGAGGUACCAGAAGGCGAAGAACCAAAGAGUGAUGUUGCUGUUGUUGCUGACCUUUUCUCACUAAAGAAUGGCCCUCCAGCAGAUUCCCUCACUGGCUGUGUUGUUUUGGUUGGUGCCAUCUUAUGUUACUGGUUACUAGUGCACAAUAUGGACACGUGCCAUCUUAUGAACAUGGGGUAAUAAUACUAAGCUACUGGUUGUGUUA